UACAGAGGGGGCAAGCGUUGUUCGGAAUUAUUGGGCGUAAAGGGCGCGUAGGCGGCUUUGCGUGUCUUUCGUGAAAUCCCUCGGCUCAACUGAGGACGUGCGGAAGAAACUGCAGGGCUGGAGUCCGGGAGAGGAGGGUGGAAUUCCCAGUGUAGCGGUGAAAUGCGUAGAGAUCCGGAAGAACACCUAUGGCGAAGGCAGCUCUCUGGGACGGUACUGACGCUGAGACGCGAAAGCGUGGGGAGCGAACAGG
rnacentral:rRNA from 1 species